rnacentral:tRNA from 1 species
GGGUCGUUAGCUCAGUUGGUAGAGCAGUUGACUUUUAAUCAAUCGAGCGCAGCGUCGAAUCCUGCACGACCCACCA